ACGCUGGCGGCGUGCCUAAUACAUGCAAGUAGAACGCUGAAGAGAGGAGCUUGCUCUUCUUGGAAGAGUUGCGAACGGGUGAGUAACGCGUAGGUAACCUGCCUUGUAGCGGGGGAUAACUAUUGGAAACGAUAGCUAAUACCGCAUAACAAUGGGUGACCCAUGUCAUUCAUUUAAAAGGGGCAACUGCUCCACUACAAGAUGGACCUGCGUUGUAUUAGCUAGUAGGUGAGGUAACGGCUCACCUAGGCGACGAUACAUAGCCGACCUGAGAGGGUGAUCGGCCACACUGGGACUGAGACACGGCCCAGACUCCUACGGGAGGCAGCAGUAGGGAAUCUUCGGCAAUGGGGGCAACCCUGACCGAGCAACGCCGCGUGAGUGAAGAAGGUUUUCGGAUCGUAAAGCUCUGUUGUAAGUCAAGAACGAGUGUGAGAGUGGAAAGUUCACACUGUGACGGUAGCUUACCAGAAAGGGACGGCUAACUACGUGCCAGCAGCCGCGGUAAUACGUAGGUCCCGAGCGUUGUCCGGAUUUAUUGGGCGUAAAGCGAGCGCAGGCGGUUUGAUAAGUCUGAAGUUAAAGGCUGUGGCUCAACCAUAGUUCGCUUUGGAAACUGUCAAACUUGAGUGCAGAAGGGGAGAGUGGAAUUCCAUGUGUAGCGGUGAAAUGCGUAGAUAUAUGGAGGAACACCGGUGGCGAAAGCGGCUCUCUGGUCUGUAACUGACGCUGAGGCUCGAAAGCGUGGGGAGCGAACAGGAUUAGAUACCCUGGUAGUCCACGCCGUAAACGAUGAGUGCUAGGUGUUGGGUCCUUUCCGGGAUUCAGUGCCGCAGCUAACGCAUUAAGCACUCCGCCUGGGGAGUACGACCGCAAGGUUGAAACUCAAAGGAAUUGACGGGGGCCCGCACAAGCGG
rnacentral:rRNA from 1 species